AUUGCAUAAUGCAGUAGCCACUGGAUUUGCAGCAGAAACACUCUGCUACAGAACAAGUGUCUUGGUUCACAGCAAAGAGGACAAAGAAAACAGCAAGUUUUAGGGGGUUGAAUCCUGGAUUCCCCUGGCAAACACCAUUCUACUUUCCGUCUCUAUGAAUUUGACUACUCGAAGUACCUCAUGUGAAAUGUUGGUGCCAAAUGAACUUUUCUGGUUCUUCUGAAUAUGCCACUGUUGCUGGAGAAAUGUCACUGCUAGAGAACAGAAGACUAUUAUUCCAAAGGGUAUUUGAGACUGACUGAAUCAGGUCUGGAACAUUAUUGAAAUGAUCAUUUGCUCCAGAAGAAGCUGGUUGCCAUGUCUUGAGGACAGUAAACCCUCUGGGGAGGUUCCUGUGGUAAGGAACAAGGGCUCCUGGCAAUAGCCUCUGAGUGAGCCACCUUGAAAAUGGAUUGUCCAGCCCCAGUCAAGCUUUCAGAUGACUGUAGCUCCUGCCAAUGUCUUCACCACAACCUCAUGAGAUCCCAAGCUACAACCACUCAGAACUUCAUCUUUUGGGAAGCACCAGGGAGAGCUGCCUGUGCCUGGCAGAAGCUGCCCAUGCCCCACUGAUACCCCACAGUACUUCCUGUUCUGCUUAGUACUCCUGCUUCUUUCUACAAACAACUGUGAUUCUCUACCUGGGAGCUUCCUCUGGCCACAGGAGCCUGCUCACCUGAUUGGGACACCCUAGCAGUACUGGUGAGUUAUAGCUUCCAGGAGCAGCUCUCUUCCAGCAAAGGAAAGGGUUGGCUGAACAGUACUUCAGCUGCCUCUGCUAGUGUGUGGGGCAAUGUUAAGACAUGCUCCACACAGUAAUGCAGGGGUCCCAGCAAGGUGGAGCCCCACUUGUCCACAGUAGUAACUUGCCAGUAGAUGCCUGCAUUGACUUUCUUCCCUGCUGUGCCUUUCUUUCCAUUCCCCUGCCAGUGCUUCCUGGAAUCAUCUCCCUCAUCAAUCAUUUGUUCCUAAAUUCUGUCUGAGUCUGUUUCUGAGGAAACCCAACCUGAGUCAUCGUCCCUCUUCUCCCCUCCUCACAUUCUCUUCACUGGGGGAGGAUGGAUUGAGUUGACUGGCAAAUUCGGGAGAAGGAGUUUGCAUCGGAGUGCGUGACUCAGCUGAGGCUGGGCUCUGUUUCUUCAGAAUGAAGUGCAUUCAGAUUCGAUGUGUAUCCUGUCUCUGGGAAGCCCCAUGCUCUGCUCAUCUUAGCAUGAUUACUAAGGUACACUCUGCCCUUGCAAGGGGAAGGCCCGAGAUUUGCUGCUGGCAGGCUCAGUGGGAGUUGGAUGUUUUAUGUAACCUGAUUGUGGAUAUAGAUCAAUUCAUGCUUUUCAAUUCAGUCCUCUCUCUAAUAAACUGCUGUCAUAA
rnacentral:lncRNA from 1 species